UGUGGCAGCCAAGCGUUCA
rnacentral:snRNA from 1 species